UUCAUCCUUACUAUCCUCCUCUUUUUCUCUUUCCCAUUCGCUUUCAUAUGCUUCUUCUUUUUGGCCCAUAUUUACCGACUCGAACAUGCCAGUGUAUAAUUGGGAACCAGAAUGUUGUUUUGCCUAGGAAAAUCUUGAAAAUUUUGUCUUGAUUCCUGCAUCCACUGAAUCAUCCAAUUUAACUUUGGAUGACUAUUCUCAC
rnacentral:lncRNA from 1 species